rnacentral:rRNA from 1 species
UACGUAGGGGGCUAGCGUUGUCCGGAAUCAUUGGGCGUAAAGAGCGCGUAGGCGGCCAGAUAAGUCCGGUGUGAAAGUCAAAGGCUCAACCUUUGAAUGCCGCUGGAAACUGUCUGGCUAGAGUCCGGGAGGGGCGAGUGGAAUUCCUGGUGUAGCGGUGAAAUGCGCAGAUAUCAGGAGGAACACCAAUAGCGAAGGCAGCUCGCUGGGACGUAACUGACACUGAGGCGCGAAAGCGUGGGGAGCGAACAGG